CGGGUGAGUAACACGUGGAUAACCUACCUAUAAGACUGGGACAACUUCGGGAAACCGGAGCUAAUACCGGAUAAUAUAUUGAACCGCAUGGUUCAAUAGUGAAAGACGGUUUUGCUGUCACUUAUAGAUGGAUCCGCGCUGCAUUAGCUAGUUGGUAAGGUAACGGCUUACCAAGGCAACGAUGCGUAGCCGACCUGAGAGGGUGAUCGGCCACACUGGAACUGAGACACGGUCCAGACUCCUACGGGAGGCAGCAGCU
rnacentral:rRNA from 1 species